rnacentral:rRNA from 1 species
CCGAAUGGGGAAACCCAACUGCAUAAGCAGUUACUGUUAACUGAAUACAUAGGUUAACAGAGCAAACCGGGGGAACUGAAACAUCUAAGUACCCCGAGGAGAAGAAAUCAACCGAGAUUCCGGUAGUAGCGGCGAGCGAACCUGGAUUAGCCCUUAAGCACUCGGUGAAGUAGGUGAACAAGCUGGAAAGCUUGGCGAUACAGGGUGAUAGCCCCGUAACCGACGCUUCAUCGAGCGUGAAAUCGAGUAGGGCGGGACACGUGAUAUCCUGUCUGAAUAUGGGGGGACCAUCCUCCAAGGCUAAAUACUCCUGACUGACCGAUAGUGAACCAGUACCGUGAGGGAAAGGCGAAAAGAACCCCUGUGAGGGGAGUGAAAUAGAACCUGAAACCGUGUACGUACAAGCAGUAGGAGCACCUUCGUGGUGUGACUGCGUACCUUUU